rnacentral:rRNA from 1 species
UGGGGAAUCUUGCACAAUGGGGGCAACCCUGAUGCAGCGACGCCGCGUGAGCGAUGAAGCCCUUCGGGGUGUAAAGCUCUUUCGGCAGGAACGAUAAUGACGGUACCUGAAGAAGAAGCUGCGGCUAACUACGUGCCAGCAGCCGCGGUAAUACGUAGGCAGCAAGCGUUGUUCGGAGUUACUGGGCGUAAAGAGUGUGUAGGUGGUCCUCUAAGUUUGGUGUGAAAUCUCCCGGCUCAACUGGGAGGGUGCGCCGAAAACUGGGGGGCUUGAGUGUGGGAGAGGAAAGCGGAAUUCCUGGUGUAGCGGUGAAAUGCGUAGAUAUCAGGAGGAACACCUGCGGUGUAGACGGCUUUCUGGACCACUACUGACACUGAGACACGAAAGCGUGGGUAGCAAACAG